GAGUUUGAUCCUGGCUCAGGAUGAACGCUGGCGGCGUGCCUAAUACAUGCAAGUCGAGCGAACCACUUCGGUGGUGAGCGGCGAACGGGUGAGUAACACGUAGGUGAUCUGCCCAUCAGACGGGGACAACGAUUGGAAACGAUCGCUAAUACCGGAUAGGACGAAAGUUUAAAGGUGCUUCUGGCACCGCUGAUGGAUGAGCCUGCGGCGCAUUAGCUAGUUGGUAGGGUAAAGGCCUACCAAGGCGACGAUGCGUAGCCGACCUGAGAGGGUGAACGGCCACACUGGGACUGAGACACGGCCCAAACUCCUACGGGAGGCAGCAGUGGGGAAUAUUGCACAAUGGGGGAAACCCUGAUGCAGCGACGCCGCGUGAGCGAAGAAGUAUUUCGGUAUGUAAAGCUCUAUCAGCAGGGAAGAAGAAAUGACGGUACCUGACUAAGAAGCACCGGCUAAAUACGUGCCAGCCGCCGCGGUAAUUC
rnacentral:rRNA from 1 species